ensembl:snRNA U6 U6 spliceosomal RNA
GUGCUUCCUUAUUGGCACAAAAGUUAAAUCUGGAACAAGGCAGGCAAGAUUAACAUGGCUACUCUAUAAGAACAAUAUGCAAAUCUAUAAGGUAUUUUCUAUAGUG